rnacentral:rRNA from 1 species
CAGCAGCCACGGGAAUACGUAGGGUGCAAGCGUUAAUCGGAAUUACUGGGCGUAAAGCGUGCGCAGGCGGUUAUAUAAGACAGAUGUGAAAUCCCCGGGCUCAACCUGGGAACUGCAUUUGUGACUGUAUAGCUAGAGUACGGCAGAGGGUGAUGGAAUUCCGCGUGUAGCAGUGAAAUGCGUAGAUAUGCGGAGGAACACCGAUGGCGAAGGCAAUCCCCUGGGCCUGUACUGACGCUCAUGCACGAAAGCGUGGGGAGCAAACAGGAUUAGAUACCCCCGUAGUCCCUGUCUCUUAUAC